CAGGCCUAACACAUGCAAGUCGAACGAUACCUUUCGGGGUAUAGUGGCGCACGGGUGCGUAACGCGUGGGAAUCUGCCCUUGGGUUCGGGAUAACCGUUGGAAACGACGGCUAAUACCGGAUGAUGACGUAAGUCCAAAGAUUUAUCGCCCAGGGAUGAGCCCGCGUAGGAUUAGCUAGUUGGUGUGGUAAAGGCGCACCAAGGCGACGAUCCUUAGCUGGUCUGAGAGGAUGAUCAGCCACACUGGGACUGAGACACGGCCCAGACUCCUACGGGAGGCAGCAGUGGGGAAUAUUGGACAAUGGGCGAAAGCCUGAUCCAGCAAUGCCGCGUGAGUGAUGAAGGCCUUAGGGUUGUAAAGCUCUUUUACCCGGGAUGAUAAUGACAGUACCGGGAGAAUAAGCUCCGGCUAACUCCGUGCCAGCAGCCGCGGUAAU
rnacentral:rRNA from 1 species